GUGAAGGCCCAGUUUCAACCAUUCACUCCUUGAGUGUGAUAUUUUCAUAACCCCCUGUGAGCUUCAGAGGUGGAAACUUAGCAAUGGAAACAGUCGGAGGAAGACAGGGAAGGACCAACACAGGCCUCCUAUCACUGCACGCCUCUGCUCCCACAGUCUCCUCCGCCCAGAAAGCCUUCCAGCCUCUCCCUGGAGUGAAGUUCCUCAGCUCUGGAAGAGAGACCCCUGUCCAUGUGAGCUUUGUGGAUCCAUAUACUGGUUGUAUAGUGACCCAAAAGGGAAAGAAUUUUCAUCUAUCAAGUUGAAAAAAUCCCAAGAAAGUUCCCUGAUGAAUUGAGCUUGGUUGCCCUUUGGGCUCAGAUCACAGGAAUUGGGAUGUGUGGUUCUGUGCUUGGCCCAGCUUGGUCACGUACCUAGCAAAGACAUGGAACUGGAGCAAACUUGGUGAACAGGUGAUGACCUUAGUUUGUGUCCACAUUCACGUCUUCCACCAGCACCACCAUCACCAUCACCACCACCACCAUCACCACCACCAUCACCAUCACUAUUAUCACCACCACGACUGGCACAGUUUUGCUAAGAGCUGUCCUGAGCCCAGCCUGGAGCUUCACAUUUGGAACUGCAACAGAUUUGACUUGGAUCAAGUCUCCAGACCUAUGGGAAUUUACUGUUUGGGGGUAACAAAGUUCAUGUGUUCAAGGAGCUAGACUCCUAACCCUGGGCUAUGAGGUGGGAGCAGGAAGGGAAGCUGCGGGGACAGGCCUGCCCCUGCAGCAUGGGCCCCAUCCCUGAGCAGGCCCGACAUCCGCAGCAACCCAUCAAAGAUCCAACGAUGGGCCAGGCCAUUUAGCAAAAGGCUACCUGUGCCCAGGCCCAGAGUGAGAGCCAUUCCUUGCUCUCUGCACAGCUCCCACACCAGCCCGGUGCCCUGUGCCCGGCCAGAGCCCUCACCACAACUGCCCCUCCCGAGGGCUGAGGCUUGUUUUGGCUCCAGGCCUCCUGUUCCUGCUCCGUCUCUGAGCAAACAUCUGUUUCCAGAUGUUGUCCCAGAGCCUUAUAAAGUUGAGGGAAGGCCUGAGUUAAUAGAGCUCCAGCAGACCCGCCUCGGCAGCGAGCUCACGUCAGGAAUGGAUCACUCAAGGAAAGCAAGACCCCUCAUUUCCUGAGGGGGGUGGGGCGUACAGGAAAGAUGAAUAGGGCACCCCCUCCCCGUUCCAGAAAUGACCUUAGCAAAGCAACCGCCUUCAGGAAAAAGAGGGAAAAGGCUUUUGUAAUGAGGUUUGCAGGAACGAAUGUUCCAGGCUGUUCUGCGUUCAGGGCUACUGCUGGGGAGGAACCAGAGGGAGGAAAGCUCAGCGGGACAGCAGAGCCUCCCCUGGAUUUACUGGCCACAAUCUGAGUUUGACCCUGGGAGCUGUGUGGUGCCUGGCAGGGAAGGGACCUGGCUGGAGUCUGGAUUUGACACCAGUGUGCUGGGUGACCUUGGAAGAGGCUCUGACCUCUCUGUGCUCGGUUUCUGCCAGUGUCACACACAGUGGAAACUUGGAUGAUUUAUAAAGGUCUUUCUGGGCCAGGGUGGGGCUCCUCUGCACGCCAAACAGGGAGAGCUACUCCUAGGAAAAGAUCCCAAGGUAAAGGGUUUGGAGUGGCGGGGCGAGUCCAGGGCUGGGGGCUCGAGACAAGCAGGGACCCAUGGCACGACCUCAAUCCCAGGUCCUAGUGAAUAGGGCUCGGCUUCAGCCAAGGAAUCCGGCUCUGUGUUAUCUGUCAUCAAACAAAAGCCUCUGUCUCUUA